UGUUCCCCGAUGCCCCAAAGGAGGCACAAAGGCGAAAUAUGGGACAGCAACAUCAUUGAAUUCCACUAGUGUGGGUAUGCAACACAGGAACCCGACAUUUGCCCACUUACAAAACAUUCACUUGGGCUAGGACUGAAAGGAUCGCGGGGAAGCAAUUCGAUGCGCGAGCACGGAGCCUGCCUACCCAAACGAUCGUGAUACGACUCAUGCACCACCACGUACAAUGAGCAACAAUUCCAAUCAGCGAACUACAACCCCCAACAAGCAUGUUAUGCCCGUCAAGCAUUGCCGAAACACCGAAUGAAACAGCUGCC
rnacentral:lncRNA from 1 species